rnacentral:lncRNA from 1 species
AUGUCUAAAUUGCAAGAAAAUAAUUCCACUGAGGAACCCAACAGCACAACUUCAUCCAAGGAUUCAACUCCUGAAGCUGUUGCAACAUCGUCUGGAGAUAUUUCCAUUGAAGUUUCACAAGAUGAAAGUAGUUCAUCAGACACUUGCUCUAAAAAUCCAAAAUCGGAUGAUGCCUCAGGUAAAUGCACCCCAGCAUCCAGUGACAAAUCAACAACUGAGAGCAAAUCUGAUGAGAGAGAAGAAGAUACAUCUUCACCCUCAGGUUCAGAAUGUACCAUUAGACAGCGGUACCAUUUAGGGUCACCUCUCCGCAUGGAACUGUGACCUCUGGUGAACCAUCAAAUCCUUGGGGCAAAUCUCCAGGUAUAUAAUCCCUUACAAUGGUUUAUCUAUGAAUUAAAUGCUCUAUUAUCAAUACUUUUAUCACUAAAAUUAGUUAAUUUAUGAUACAUAAUUGCAUCUCAAUUUUUUUUAAUAAUAGUUCUGAAAUUUUAGAAAUUUAAUAUUGUCAGAAUAAUUAUUAAUCAGCUUCAAGUUUUAGUUAUAGA